UUUUUUUUGUUUCAUUGUUUCCAUUUUAUUCUUUGAGUUUUUAGUUUGUAAAUUGCCUUUCAUACCUUAAAAAGUAAGUUUUUUUCCCUUUGUAAAAGUUAAAAUAAUUUCAAUUAGUUUCCUCCUUUUUUCAAUGUGAACUUUUAUUUACAAAAUAAUAAUUACCUUUUCAAACUACUUCUCCAUUUUUUUGAGCAGCAGAAACACAAACCCCUUUCUCUAAAAAUCAGAUCAUCUUCAGGAUUAAGGUGAGUCAAACUUGAAUGAUUUACACAGAUUGGUUACAGGAUUACAGAAUAACAUCUUUGUUUUGUUAUUUUAGAUGUUUUUUUGCAUUUAAAUGACUACCAUGAUAUUUUUUAACCAUUUGUUGUUGUUUAUGUUUACUGUUUGGAAUGAGACUAACCAAGUCGUGGUGAGUAGAAACACUGUUUCUUUCAGCCUUUUCAUUGCAAACGUUUAGCUCUUAUUUUGAAAUGGUUUUGCUGUUAUUGUAAUUAUAAUAAUUAAGGGGAUAUUUUGUGAUUUUUUUUUCUUGUCCUCGGUGUUGGUGAAGAGAACACCAACACUAAACUCCAUCUCCAUCUCAGAAACACGCUGCUGGAGGAUGGAUGGAGUUCCCAAAGGCCUCAUCAAUCAGAAUCUGGAUCCCAGACAUGG